rnacentral:lncRNA from 1 species
AAGGGGCCUGACCCGACCCCUCUUCUCUUCAGGUUUUCAGGCAGUCAGCACUGUGGCCACAUCCACUGUGCCUACCAGUACCGAGAGCACUACCACUGCCUGGACCCUGAGUGCAACUACCAGGUACGAGAUGCACCACUGCACAGCACAGCGGCUCUGGCUAGAAGUGAGGCACCAGGUGCUUAGUACUCCAUGGGUCACCUGAACUUAACUUGGUGGGCAGAGAGUACGGACCCACUGCCAGCCUGUGCCACUAGUAGGUUCUGCAGCCAUUGGCAUCCUGGUGGUGAUGAUGCCCAUGCAGCUUCGCUGGGAAUCCAGUGUGGACCAAGGCCCAUUCCAGAUGGCCUGUGUACCGCAGCUAGCUAACUCUUCAAGGGGCCUUCUAAGGUCGGCAUCACUGCCCCACUUCAAAACGGAAAUUGAGGUUCAGAUAGAAUGCCAUUAUGUAAAGACCACGACUUGCAAAUGCAGAACUAUCAAAGAGGUGGCAUUGACAGUGUGCAUAGGCUGCUCCUUCGGUCUCACCGGGUGUCUCACCUGGCUUUGCUCACAGGUGCAUUGGGCAGAAUGUACUGUCACCUGUCAGAGCCCUUGCCCUGAGGGAGCACCCUGUUCAUCCUCUGCUUGGGCUGUGGCUGUUGGGAGGCUGGGGAGAGGCCAGGGGAGGGUCUAUGGUUUCUGGAUUGUUGGAAUCCCUGCUGCUGAGGGAAUUGGCUGGGCAGUCUGUGCUGUCCUGACCACAAGUGGGGUUAGGUUUAUGAGGUGACCUGAGGGCCCUGAGGCCGGCCCCUGGCCCAGGCUGUCUUGGCAUACGGGUGGGGAUGAGGGCUCCUGCCAGCUUGGUACUCUUCCUGGCAGAGGUUCACGAGUAAGCAGGACGUGAUCCGGCACUACAACAUGCACAAGAAGCGGGACAACUCCCUGCAGCACGGCUUCAUGCGCUUCAGCCCCCUGGACGACUGCAGCGUCUACUACCACGGCUGCCACCUCAACGGGAAGAGCACCCACUACCACUGCAUGCAGGUGCCCGCCUCCCCGUCCUCGCCCUGAAGCCCCCCAGCUCAGGCCUUCCUCUAACCCCGACCACAGCAGCCAUGGGCAGGGUCUCUGGGUGCAGGGUGGAGGUAGCUGGUGAGCCAAGAGUCACUGGGCAUGCUGAGGGAGGCUCUGGGGGAGUGGGGAGCAGAAUCUGGUGGCCGAGGCGGGGCCAUCCCCGUGGCCAUACUUGGUGUGGGGGAAAUUCAGUGAGCUGUUUAUACAGACCGACAUUUUUCAGGCUUUAACACCAAGAGCGGCAUUGCAAAUGAUUCCUGAGGAGGUUUUUGUUUAAUUCUUUGUUUUAAUGCCACACUGAGUCUGGGCUUUUUCAAGGUGUCAGGCCCAGGAGGAGCGACUUUGGGUUGCAAAUAGCAGCCUCCUUGCCUCCCCCAUAUUUGUCGAGGGUUGUUAUGGCCUCUGGGGAACAACCUGGGUGUGAGGAGGGGGGCCACCCUGGGCCUGAGACGGUGCAGGCACUGGCACAGCCCAGCCUUUGAGGGUGCUCAGAGGCCACUGGUUUUUACUCAAUAUGGCAACAUUGUCUGCCUGGCCCAGUGCGGGGGGAGGGGCCAUGCCCAGAAAUCAUCCACUAAGCAAGUCCCUGAGCUAAGGUGACCUCCAGGACACAGCCCCUGUCAACUCUGGGGACUGUAGAGGUAGGGCCACAGAUGGGGAUAUAAAACCCAGCAUCUGAAGAGCAUGGCUCCCUCGCCUGGGCCCGAAGCCGCGUGGUCUGAAGACAGCCUGGCCCUCAGGCAGGUUCCGGUUGCUCCCUGGGCGGGGUGGGGGGGUGGUGGUUGGAGGCUUUAUGCCUCGGCCCAGGCACACCUGGGGAGUUUGAGGAUAGAGGUGUCAGCUGUCCCGAGAGGAGACCUGUGCCCAGCCGCCCUCUGACCUUGGCCCAGCUGUGCCAGGACUCAGAUGGCUGCCCGCCAUCCUGGCUGCAGGUGGGCUGCAACAAGGUGUACACGAGCACGUCCGACGUGAUGACCCAUGAGAACUUCCACAAGAAGAACACCCAGCUCAUCAACGAUGGCUUCCAGCGCUUCCGAGCCACCGAGGACUGCGGCACGGCGGACUGCCAGUUCUACGGACAGAAGACCACGCACUUCCACUGCAGGUGAGCCAGCUGUCCACCGGCACCCCAGGCUGGAGGAGGGGCAGGGGAUAGCUUGCUUAAGGCCCUGGUUUGGUGUCCAGCCUGGGUUUUCUGUCACGGGGACUGCCCCCUGUGUGCCCCAUGACAGACCCCCAAUGUCCCAUCCAGGCGUCCUGGCUGCACGUUCACCUUCAAGAACAAGUGUGACAUCGAGAAGCACAAGAGCUACCACAUCAAGGACGACGCCUACGCCAAGGACGGGUUCAAGAAGUUCUACAAGUACGAGGAGUGCAGGUACGAGGGCUGCGUGUACAGCAAGGCCACCAACCACUUCCACUGCAUCCGCGCCGGCUGCGGCUUCACCUUCACCUCCACCAGCCAGAUGACCUCGCACAAGCGCAAGCACGAGCGCCGGCAUGUCCGCUCCUCGGGCGUGCUGGGGCUGCCACCCUCGCUGCUGGGCGCCAAGGACACGGAGCCCGAGGAGUCUAGCAACGACGACCUGGUGGACUUCUCUGCCCUGAGCAGCAAGAACUCCAGCCUGAGCGCCUCCCCCACCAGCCAACAGUCCUCUGCGUCCCUGGCCACUGCCGCUGCCACCACCGAGGGCACGCCCAGUGCCACCAAGCCUCCUAGCAGCAAGAUCCAGGGGCUGAUGCCCCAGGGCCUGCCAGGCUCCAUCCCCCUGGCACUGGCCCUCUCCAACUCGGGCCUGCCCACCACCGCACCGUACUUCCCCCUUCUUCCUGGCCGUGGGAGCACCUCCCUGCCUGUGGGUGCCCCUGGCCUCCUGGGUGCCAUGUCAUCUGGGGCAGGUGCCUCAGCAACCCCCGACACACCUACCUUGGUGGCUUCGGGAGCUGGAGAUUCGGCCCUGGCGACUGCCACCUCUGUCCCGGUGCCCCCUGCCUCCAUCAUGGAGAGAAUCUCUGCGAGCAAGGGCCUCAUCUCACCCAUGAUGGCCAGAUUGGCCGCAGCUGCCCUCAAGCCCUCUGCCACCUUUGACCCAGGUGAGCAGGCCAGGCCCUGCCCAGGAAGCAAGCACCUUCUGGGUCCCAGAGGCUCCAUCCCUGCACUCCUGUUGCAGAGCAGAGUAGGGUGGUGUGGGGGAGCCGUCUGUCUGAUCUCCACCCUCCAGUCUUGCACCAAGCAGUGGCCCCUCUCUGCCUGGUCUCUGCCUCCCUCCUGUGUAUUUCCUCCUCAGAGCCCCACCUGGGCCCCUGCCCAGGGAGUUCUCGCCUGUUUCUCCUGAGGCGGGAACAGUAGGCCCUCCCUCCUGGGAUCCCCUGCAUUCUGUUGGCUCGCUGUGUUCUCACCUCCCACAUCACAGAUGAGUCCCUGAGGAGAGCUGUCCCAGGCCCCCUUCUCCUCUUGAGUCUCCUCCAGAUGACCUGGAGGGGGACAGGUCCAACACAGUGGCAGGGUGACUGCACCUCAUACCUGGACAGCCCUCCAGGCCGAGGGACACCUCUGCAGCUUUCCCCCAGCAGAACUUACACCCCACGCUCUUCAGCAUGGCAGCCACUAGCCAGGUGGCUGUGGAGUGCCCAGCUGGUCAGAGUGAAGAGGCACUGGGUUGCAGUGUGACUCAUUUAAGCAGGCGCACUGGCCAGUGCUCCCUGAUGGACAGUGUGGCCUGCAGCCAAGAGUGGCUUCUUCUGGUCUGGCACUGGCUUGCUACAGGGUGGCCCCCUCCUUCCUCCUUUUUCCUUGCUUCCUUCUUUCUCCUGGUUUCCCUGGCUCCUCUCCCUUUGCUUCCCCAUCUGGGAAUUUGUCUUAGUUGAGCCCUUGAGAAGUGUUCAGCUCCGUCCAGGAGGUGGCUCAUUCAUUCACUCAACAACCCUUGGUGCUUGCUGGGUGCCUGCCGAGGGCUACCACUGAGUGGGUGCUGGGGACACACAGGCAGGAGGAAGUGGAAGCCAGCCCCGUCCUGUGGUGCUGAUGGAGCAGUGGGGUGGCCCGUCCCCAUACACAGCUGAAAGUGACAAAGUUGAGACGGUCCUCAGCACCUUGGCUGCCAGGUCCGGAUACUCUGCUCCCAUUUGAGACCAUCUUGGAACCGGCCAGGACAGACAGAGGGUCCCUUCGUCCCAGCUUGGGGCUCUGCCCACACCUCCUUGAGAGUUCUAGCCCUGGAGGAUAGGGAGCCGGGCCCGUUUUCCUGUGACUGGGGGUAAAUGACUUCAGGAGCUGCUGGGGUGUGGGCUUAUGAAGGCUGAGAACCCUUUCAGGUCCCUGGUGGGGCACUCAGAUCCCAGGGGGCAGUUUAGAGGCCCCACCUUCCACUCCCUGGCCACAACCCCAACCAAGAACUGAGCCCUCCAAGGCCACCCUGGGCUCAGUGGCCAAGCUGUCAAGGACUUUCUUUUUCCUACAAAAGUCUCCUUCCCCUCCCCCGCAAAAGAAAGGUCAGGCGCAGGGGAGGGAGCCAUUUUCCUGUAUUUUUAAUAAAAUGCCACUUGCAGUCUGAAGCAGUCCUGUCAGCUGUAGCGCCUUGGGGCAGAUUAAUAUUUCAGUCACUUGGGGAUUGUGGAGCUGGGCCCAGUGGACACCUUCCUGUCAGCUUCUUUUGCCCCUGAUCUGCUCGGCUUCCUACAGCGUCUUCCCACCCAGCUUCCCCUCAGACCCAUCCUGGCCAGGCCUUGAGCCCCUGCCCUGGACAGCUUGACGGGCGAGGUCACACAGCUCGCUGAUUGGCCGUCAGCUCGGUAGCCCUGACACAGCAGAUGCCCUCUCUGGGCAUGCUCAGUGCAGGCAGGCUGUCUCCCCGGCAACAGCAGGCCAGGGACCAAGGAGGGGCCGCUCUGUCCAGAUCUGCCACUUUCCCUCAGCAUUAACAGAGUCUUUAAUAAAAGCUUAAACGGCAGCCCCAGAAAUCGACUGUGACAGUUGGUGAGGAAAACGAAGGGCCCCUGCACCCGCCCCAGCCCCCUCCUCAGCCUCCCGCCCUUCUCCAGGAGGCCCUGAGCCAGGCCAACUUUGACAUAAUUUUGCAGUAAUUAUCACUUGAAGAAUUGCCACACAGGGGUAAGCGUCUCAAGCGAUCACGUCAGCAGGGAGAAUCGCUGACCACAGUGAGGCCUCCCCAGACCCCUGGC